rfam:Triticum urartu cultivar G1812 contig115583, whole genome shotgun sequence.
UAAUUACUCCCUCCGUCCUGAAUUACUUGUUGCAGAAAUGGAUAAAAAUGGAUGUAUCUAGAACUAAUAUAUGUCUAGAUACAUCCAUUUCUGCGACAAGUAAUUCCGGACGGAGGGAGUACUAU